rnacentral:lncRNA from 1 species
UCGGGGGCAUUUUCCAAUGCUAAUCCCGGUAGAUGGGACAUAUGAGAUGUGAGCUUGGGGCGAACUUGAUGAACCCCGGAAAGAUUGGGUAAAGGCCAAAGUGAAUGUGUGAAAGUAUGCAUUAUGAGUUAUGGAUUUGGUAUUCCAGUUGAGUGGAUUUAUGGCUGAGGUGCAUGUGGGACGUCCUUCACCUCGAGCUUGGAUGCAUGCGGUAUUCCGCAGAUGAUUGACUCGAGACCGAGUCGGGUGGUUAGCUUGGCUACGGUAGAGGAAAAGCUUAGCAGCAAAUAACCAAUGAUAUAAAGUGACAAGAUGUAUAAAUUAUGAAAAAGCUAUGGAUAGCAUGAUAGAAAGUAAAAUCAUUUAUUUUACUUGUAUAGUUGCAUGGUUUCAUAUUGCAUAUCGCGAGGCAUGACAUGUAGUUCAAUAUCGAAUAAAUGUUUAAGUAUCUGUUAUGUGUUAUUGGACUAACCUGUUGCAGUGCCUCAUUAGACCUAUUGGUUGAGCUUUUCCCUUGGGUGGCCGUACCAUCUGGAAACUAUGGAGUUGGUUCUCACCCCACGUUGUUUUGGGAUGUUACAGGUUCACACGUGAGCGGCACGGCGGCGCGAGGCGAGGACGUAGCUCCGUAGUUAGCGCCCUACUACCGAGACCAGAGAUAGCGGUACCCUGAGUCGACUACUUAGGGAUGUAAGAAAAUGAAAGGAAUAAGAUUGCAAUAAUUUAUAAUAAAAGCAUGAUUGUAUUUCGAAGUUAAAUAUAAUAUGUAAUUGUGAUGUAAAAUAUAUCUAGUGAAUUUGAAUGCUUGUAAUAACAAGUAGAUUAUGUUUUUGAUACUUCCUUAUGCAAUCUUUGAUUGAAUGUGUUCUUGGUUGGAACUUCGUAUAUUGUAUUGAUUGCGACACCUUGAAUGUACAGAGGAGACUCUGUCCGUGGUACAGGGAAAACCCUGUCCGUUCGGCGGUCCGUUGGCGUACCCAAAAUCGACCAAAUAGGCGGGCUUGGGGCGUGACAGAUAAGAUGGUAUCAGAGCAUAAAAGAAACGUAAAAAGAAUAAUAGAAAAUGAUUUAGUUGGACCUAGGAGACCAUAGGAUAGUAAACCAUAGGAGAUUAAGGCUCGUGAGAGACGAGGACUUGUUUCUUUUGGCGAAAGGUUAAUUGAUUGGGUUGUGUCAUAAACCUCUAAAACGGAUGUUAGAGGUAGACUCAGGGUGAGGUUUAUUCUCAACAGAGGGUGUUCAUGUUGGGUGCACACAACAUGAAGCCAAGUGAUGAGAAUAAACGCCCUUGCAUGACUUUUGCCCGAUUUGAGUCAGUAUUAAGUGUCUUGUGUUCGACCUAGAAGGUCGAGGAUUAAUAGAGUUGUCGUGUUUUAGGAAGCGAUAGCACUACGUAGGCGAUCUUCAUUUAGAUCGGUGCGGGAUUGGCCAAGUGGUGUCCCUGGGCAAUUUGAGGCGAGCGGAGACUUGGAACUUCGCGAGUUUUGGCAGCUCUCAUGACCUUUGAGAAAUUAACGGAAUUCUCGUUGUGUUAGAUCACUUUUGGUCAAAUUGACCGAAGUGCAAGGUUGGUAUGCUUCGGUAAGGCCGAAGGCAUCGAAAGGAGUAAAGGUGCGUCAUUGGGGAUCUUCGAGAGCUCGGCAUUUGAAAAUCUGCAAACUGCAGGUUUUCUGCUCUCGGAGAUCGGUUCCUACGGGGAGAGACCAGUCCCCGAACGCGUAGGCAACGAGAAGGCUGAGAAAUCGGCUAAGUCCUGGAAAACCAGCUCUCGGGAACCGGUCCCUGCGAGGAGAGACCGAUCCCAGAGACCGGUUCCAUCGGGGGAGACUGGUUGCAUCGGGCGUGAGCUCUGCUGACCGCGGGGAGAGCUCUCUGGGACCGGUCCCAGGCUCGAGAGACCGGUCCCCGAGCCCGAAAAUGGCCGAGUCAGGGCAGUGUAAAAGAAUAAAAGUUGAGGGGCUUAUUUGUACUUAUGCACCAUGUGGGGCUAUGUGGGGGGUAUGAGAGCUCUUUUCUCUCAUUUUUCGCCCACACACCCUCUCAUAUCUCUCUUUCUCUCUCUAGAAGACAAGAAGAGGAAGAAGAAAGGAAAGGAAAGAAGGAGAAGAAGAAGGAGGUUUUCCUCAUCUUCUUCAUCUUCUCCUUGGUUGGAGCUUCUCGGAGGGGUAAGCUCCUAAGCUCUCUCUCAUGGUGGAUUUCUAGAGAUAGGUUUGAUUGCUCUAGAAAUGAAGUAUUGUAUUAUCUGAGGGCGUAGUACCUGCCAGUACAGGUAUAGAGCCAGAUGGCACUAGCGAAGUGCUAGAGGUAAUCUAUGGCGAGAAGUGAGACUCGCGGUAGAGAUAGAAGUGGCGAAACGACUCUUAGAGCAAUAUGAGUAGUAAAUUGCGAGAGUUGAGCCAUGAUGCUUAUGAGAACACCCGAGUAGUCCGAAAAUUUCGGAUGUCAUUCCGGUAGAUCGAACAGUGAAAGUAGCAUCACUGUUGAGAGAAUGGUCGAUUGGUGGCCAAGUUUGAGCACGUGGGCCUAGUAGUACCUCAAGGUGAGGUAGGCAGUUGUGCUCGUGCAGCCGGUGUGCAUAGGCAAGAUUGCCUAAUGCUGGACUUCGUGUGGAACGCUGUAGAGGCGUAGAGCGCUCUAGUGUAGAUACCCAUAGAGUGCGGAUGUGGAUUCAGCCGAGAGAGUGUAUUGGCAGUAGCACCUGAGCAUUGCUAGGUGUGAAGCGGGCCAUGGAUCACUCGUGGGACUGGUGACUCGCACUAUGUGCAUAGGAGCCGAUAUUGGUACGUGCGACUCAGUAGAGUAUGUCGUGUAGGACGACGACGGCGGGUAGUGCUUGGGGACGACCCGUGCCUGGACGAUUUGUGGACUAUGGAGCCUGGGCCCAUUGGGCAGGCGCAGUCAGCUGUGAGUGACAGUGGCCCGGUACCUACGGAUAAGGCAAAGUUCUGGUCAAGAUGGUAGUCCGAGCUUAGACCCGGGAGCGUGGAAUGCCACGUGAUACAUUGUGUGACCGAUGGUACACCGAGUAUGGUUGUGACCCAACCCGAGGGCUUGACGUGGUUUGGGGUCUUAGUUGCUCCUGGUUGGAGUGUGUGCGAAUUCCCAAGUGAGAAUUUCGCCCGAUGAUGAUUGGGUCUCCAUUUGCGAGGGAGAGACGCUGCGUAUUGAGACAGGUUUAGGCGGUAGGUCUACGUAGGAUUGGUGGCCUUUGGUCCACCUGUGGAGACCGAAGAAAGCGAUUUGGCAGAUAGCCUUAUCGAGGAGCUGACUCGAAUUUACGAACGAAGCGCUCGCGUGAGCUCGUUGCGAAAAUAGUUUGAUGUUAAUCGUGGCAUGUGGUAUCAGAUGAUGAAGUGCUUCUUAUGAGACAUCGAACUAGUGGAAAGCCACGUGAUGUUGGAGACUAUACUCUUAAGCGAACUAAAACUUGAGAUGUGCCGAAGUGGGCCAUCUCACGUUAAAGUCAAGGGUCAGUGCGAAAUUAGAGCACUCACGACGGAACGAUGCAUCGGUGAUAUUGCUUCUAAGCAAUGUCGGUGAUCGAAUUAGAAUGUAUUCCUGAAGGAAAGGUAAGUGCAAAGAAGAGUUCUUUGUGUACCGAAUGGCGAGUGGUGUUGGAGCGCGUAGAGUCGUCGAGUACCGACUUGCGCUUUCACUAUGACUUGCAAGAUCCGUGAUGCACCUUUGUAUCACACUUUGCAAAUGUGUUUAGGAUUAAACCCACGUCCUUCAGUAUGAGCCGCUUCUGGAACCACGAUAGUGUGAAACCGCUUUGGAGUGGGAGAAUGAGUUGGUACCCUCAAUUGCUCGCGGAGCUGAAUUGAGGCGUGAUUUGAAUUUCGCGGACGAAAUUUUUUUAAGGGGUGGAGAAUGUAACAUACCAGAUUUUGGUAUAAAAAUAAAAAUAAAUAAAAAUAGUGUGAGAAACUAUUUUUAUUGAAUUUAGAGAAGUAACACAUAAGUCAGAAGUGACUUGUGCUGAAAUCGGAAUAAAAACAGAAGAUUUAGAAUUUUCUGUUGGAAACGGGACAGAUAAAUUAGCAGAAAAUGCACAGUCUCAGAAAAUUAUGAAAAUUGGAGGAUAAGCCAGAAUUAUUUUUAUGAGGCUAGAUUUAAAGUUUCAUGUCAUUGUGACACCCGGAAGAUGGAAAAUAAAAUCCGACAGCUAUCUAAUAAAGAUUACAGUUCGGUACAGUUUUCGGUGACAAAACGGGGUUGAAACUGAAAUAUUAAAAUUUUUUUGGACUCGUUAAGUAAAACUGAACAUGACUGUCAAAUUUGAGCUCAAACGGAUAUUCAGGGAGCUCCGACGAAAUAUAUCAGAUUUCGAGCUGCCUGGAGUGAAUAGUAUUUUGGGUGUUAAUGUAUAAAAGAGCAUUGCUCUUCUUCUCCCCUAACCGUGCAGCCACACACACACACAUGCGCCACACACACACGCAUGCAUGGAGGGAGAGAGAGACCUCCCUCUCUCUCUCUAAAUCUCUCCCAAAAGAGGUGGUUUUGGUGGAGAUUGAAGCUUAAUGGUGGAUUUUCAUCUUCAUCGUCUUCUUCCUCUCCAUUGGAGCUUGUUUGAGAGGUAAGCUUUGACGCCCUCUUAUGGUAGAUCUUUAGAGCUUCAUUUAUAUGCUCUAAAAAUGGUUUAUUUGGAAUCCUAGCAUGCUAAAUAGAGGAUAAAUGCUAGAAUCUAGAGGAUUAAUGGUGGAUUUUUAUCUAGUUGUAAUCUAGGGCUCAAAAAUGGAGUUUUGUAAAAUAUGGGGGUUUGAUCUAAUUUGACCCUUCGUAAACCUAAUUGCUAGGUAAACGAAUGCGUUGGCGAAGUCGGUUCGGCGAUUCGUCGAGCCGUUGUAAAGAUAUAAAAGAAACGAACGUUUAGGCUUCGUUUCCGCCUGGAGGGCCGAGGCAACAUCGUAAAGUCAUAAAAACGGAUUGGAGUACCGUGGCACAUAACCGAAGACCUAUAAUUUUCGGUGCCGCGAUCCGACGCACGGUUGGUGAGUAUUAGCAAAAUCGGGCCGAACCGGACACGGGUGACGCGGGAGGCCGAUUGCAAGUGUCGACAAGCAAUUGGAAAGCGAUUUGAGGUGGGUUGUGCUUACCGAAGCGACUAGGUCGCCUGUAUGUCUAAGUAAAAUGAAUUCAUGUUGAUGCAUAUAAAUACUAGAUGGAUGCAUGUAGUAACUCCUAAAGGGAAUGCAUGCUAAAGAUGCAAUAUAGAAAUGCUAGAAUACAUGAUGAUGUAAUAUAAAUGCAUGUUAAUUAUCUAAAGUAAGAUGCUAAGAGAUUGUACAUGAAGUGACAUAAUGUAAGAAUGCUAAAUAAAUGCAUGAAUGAUGUGGUAUAGAAAUGCUAGAAUAUAUGCAUUGGUUAAUGUUAGUUGAAUGCAUGUCAUAGAAAUGCUAAAUGUAAGCAUGUGGUUAAUGCUAAGAUUAUUUCUAAUUGAUGCAUAAAGUUGUAUUGGUAGGUUUACAUGAUAUUAUGAAUGCUUGAAACAUACUAUGUAGUUGAGAUUACCUACCAAUGAGAUGAAAUGUAUAAUAAAUUAAAUGCUAAAAGAAUGCAUGAGAUGCUAAGUAUGGACUAUGUUAGAAGAAUUAUACAUGUUGCCAUAAUGGGGAACAUAGUAGAUGAACUAUGCAAGUUGAACUUGGGUCGAUAACUCUAGAUUGAUUAGAGAACUCGACAUUGGAAAACUAGUAUAAUGUGCAUAUGGACAAUCUAUAUACAUUAGAUCGAGUGGCAUUAAACCUAGUGUCUUGAACAUAGGUUGAACAUGAAUGAUAUGAACCUAGUGUUAGUAAACCUAGGUCGGACAUGAAGGACAUAUGAACCUAGCGGUAAAGAACAUAGGUUGGAAUCAUGUGUGGCAUUUAAUCUACCGUUAAAGAACAUAGGUUGGACAUGAACCUAGUGUUAAAGAAAGUAGUUAGACAAGAUUUAACCCAAAGUGACAUUGUAGCUUGGUAUUAGCGGUAUAUGCAUGAUUAGGUAAAAACCUAUCAUUGGCAUUGAGGCAUAGAGAUAUAGAACAGGUUGGCUAUACCUCCUCAAAUUGAGGAUGGGAUCGUACUCACAUGUAUCGGUUCCGGCUUGUGCGAGGUCGCUCCUCUACAGGUGGUGUACUCCGGAAUAUAGACACUAUGGGUGCGAGUGCCUGGCGAAGAUCCCUCGGGUGACAGUGCCUUGUGCCUUCUCCGGUAGACGGGAUGGAUCCCUCGGGGGCAUUUCCCAAUGCUAAUCCUGGUAGAUGGGACAUGUGAGAUGUGAGCUUGGGGCGAACUUGAUGAACCCCGAAAAAAUUGGGUAAAGGCCAAAGUGAAUGUGUGAAAGUAUGCAUUAUGAGUUAUGGAUUUGGUAUUCCAGUUGAGUGGAUUUAUGGCUGAGAUGCAUGUGGGACGUCCUUCACCUCGAGCCUGGAUGCAUGCGGUAUUCCGCAGAUGAUUGACUCGAGACCGAGUCGGGUGGUUAGCUUGG